GGGCCGGUGGUCUAGUUUGGUUAUGAUGCUGCCUCGACAUGGCAGCGAUCGAGAGUUCAAAUCUCUCCCGGCCCAC
rnacentral:tRNA from 1 species